GACGAACGCUGGCGGCGUGCUUAACACAUGCAAGUCGAACGGAGUGGCGAACGGGUGAGUAACACGUGGGUGAUCUGCCUUGCACUUCGGGAUAAGCUUGGGAAACUGGGUCUAAUACCGGAUAGUGCAAGAUGAGCUCGCGGCCUAUCAGCUGGUUGGUGGGGUAAUGGCCGACCACGUCGUCGCCAGGUAGCCGGCCUGAGCGGGUGUACGGCACCAUUGGGACUGAGAUACGGACCAGACUCGUACGGGAGGCAGCAGGGGGGAAUAUGGCACAAUGGGCGGAAGCCUGAUGCAGCGACGACGGGUGGGGGAUGAAGGCCGUCGGGUUGGAAACUCCUUUCGACAGGGACGCGGUACCUGUAUAAGAAGCACCGGCUAACUACGUGCCAGCAGCCGCGGUAAUAC
rnacentral:rRNA from 1 species